rnacentral:lncRNA from 7 species
CCCACCUGCCAGCUUCUUAGCCUUAAGCCACGCACGCGCACGAACACAAGUUACGUCGCUUCUGUGUGGGCCCACCUAGUCAGGCUCAUCUCCCACCCGAGCUCUAUAACAAGAAGCCGAACUCGCCGUUGGGACCUUCUUGUUAUGGAGCUUCGCGACCUCCUGUAUGCCUGGGACUAUGACUAUAUAAAUUGGAGCUUCGCGACCUUCUUGUCCUCCAUCAUAUGUGCUCCAUGCGUGGUUUCGUCGUGGUAGUAUGCCGGUAUCCCUGUGUGCGGUCUGCGGUGGUCGAAUCGCAUAUAUGCCGGUGUCGAGCCCACAGUAUCCUUACUGGGAGAUUCAAGACGUCUUUGGGAUGGUACUCGUGACCUUCUCGGGCAGGAAUAACCUCCACAACGACUGAAAUUCCUCAACGGUGCGUGAUCGCUGCUGCAUAUCCGCCCUACGACGAGGGCGGGAGUCCAUGUGGCAUGAUCGCUGGUAAGAUCUCUUAUACCUUGC